GCCUAUAUUAAAUAAGUUUUUAACACAGUUUAAACCCGUACCAAACAAGUGUCCGAUAAAAGAUUUAACUAUCACUUUAUACAAAUCAAUUCAAGUUUUAAAUUAUUUUUAUUUAAAUAUAAUUAUAAAAUAUAAUAAAUACGAAUAUGAAAUUAUAUUUUUUAAGUAUUUUUAAUUUUAAAUAGUAAAUCAAAUUGUAAACAUGUGUAUAAUAUCUAUGUAAUACCCGAUUUUGGCCCGGGUAAAAAGGUCCAAAUAAAAUAGUCCAAUUACAAUAAAGAGGGCCCAAACCCCAGACCCAAUUUUUGUUAAAGAACAGUGGCUCAAUUAUAUGUGGCCCAAAUGCCCAAAACGAUAGUCAGAAACCCUAGGGUUUCUAGGGAAAUCUUUGCGCCGCAGCCAAGCACCUCGCCCGCACGAGCCGCAUCCUCGAUCUUUACCUGCACCAAAGAAAGGAAACACAGCAAAUAAACCACAAAGAAGGCAAGAAAAUCAAGAAAUUGCGAAUCAAAACAGAUAUCAGAAUAGAAUUUCUUUUCUUUUCUUGUUUUGAUUACGGCUAUAAAAAGCCAUCUCAAAUACUGUAAAAAGGGGAGAGGAGGUUAAAAAGAGGAGUGUAAAAAGAAACAAAGAUUGUAUUGAAAAAAGGAUACUAAAUCAAAAGGAAAAAGAAUUUUUGAAGGUAUUUUCGUUUCAUUUUUUAGGGGAUUUCUGUUUUUUUAUUUGUUAUUUAUUAUAAAACUAAACGAAAGGGAAAAAGAAAAGGGGGUGCUCACCUGCGUCGAUCUGCCCGAAUCGGAGCCGGAGGGAGGCAUCGUGCUCGCUGAAACUUGCGGCGGCGAUGGCUUAGUUAGCACCCUAGCAGAGGAGGCUAGGGUUCAUAAGUUUUUUGUUGUAAAUGCGGCAGAAAGUGAAAUUUCUUAAGGAAAUGUUGGUUUUAUAUUAAAAUCAAAACGGCGCCGUUUAGAUGAGGGUAGGAUCCGCGUGUCGACCCGACCCGGGCCCAGGAUCCGCGCAUUUCUUUAAAAUGGGAAAUUUUCGCGAUUAGUCCUCUUGUUUUUAUAGUUUGUCUAAAUUAAAAUUUUUAUUUCUUUUAAAUUUUGCUGCAUGAUUUACUUCUGUUUCAAUUUGGCCCAUUCCGCUGCGCAACGUUUUGAGAUAAUGGAUUAACUUCUCUUUG
rnacentral:lncRNA from 1 species